AUUGAACGCUGGCGGCAGGCCUAACACAUGCAAGUCGAGCGAGCGGCGGACGGGGGAGUGAUGUCUGGGAAACUGCCUGAGGGAGGGGGAUAACUACUGGAAACGGUAGCUAAUACCGCAUACCAUAAGAUGUGCCCAGAUGGGAUUAGCUAGUAGGUGGGGUAACGGCUCACCUAGGCGACGAGCCCUAGCUGGGCUGAGAGGAUGACCAGCCACACUGUAACUGAGACACGGUCCAGACUCCCACGGGAGGCAGCAGUGGGGAAUAUUGCACAAUGGGCGCAAGCCUGAUGCAGCCAUGCCGCGUGUAUGAAGAAGGCCUUCGGGUUGUAAAGCACUUUCAGCGGGGAGGCGUUACCCGCAGAAUAAGCACCGGCUAACUCCGUGCCAGCCGCCGCGGUAAUAC
rnacentral:rRNA from 1 species